rnacentral:rRNA from 1 species
GAGUUUGAUUAUGGCUCAGAACGAACGCUGGCGGCGCGUCUUAAGCAUGCAAGUCGAACGGUAAGGGAGAGCUUGCUCUCCCCUAGAGUGGCGGACUGGUGAGUAACGCGUGGGUGACCUGCCCUGAAGCUGGGGAUAGCUAGUAGAAAUAUUAGAUAAUACCGAAUGUGCUCAUUUACAUAAAGGUAAAUGAGGAAAGGAGCUACGGCUCCGCUUCAGGAUGGGCCCGCGUCCCAUUAGCUAGUUGGUGAGGUAAAGGCCCACCAAGGCAACGAUGGGUAUCCGGCCUGAGAGGGUGAACGGACACAUUGGGACUGAGAUACGGCCCAAGCUCCUACGGGAGGCAGCAGCUAAGAAUCCUCCGCAAUGGACGAAAGUCUGACGGAGCGACGCCGUGUGAAUGAAGAAGGCCGAAAGGUUGUAAAAUUCUUUUGCAGAUGAAGAAUAAACACAGGAGGGAAUGCCUGUGAGAUGACGGUAGUCAUGCGAAU